rnacentral:lncRNA from 1 species
UUUUUUCUAAUUCUUUUUUAUUUGUAAAGCACACCCCAGUACCCCACGGGUGGCUCCGUUCCGGCGUGGGGCCUCCCCCCCAGCCCCACGGGAGAAAAUAGUUUUGUGCUUUACAAAAAAAAAAAAAUUAUAACAAAAAAAUUAUGCGAAAUAAUUUCAAAUAUAUAUCUUCUUUUUUUUUUUUUAAUUGGCAGCCAGCUUUUUCUAUUUUUUUUUUUUUUGUUUUAAAUCCCCCCCUGGCUGGUUACUCGCUUUGUACAGGAAAUUUGAAUAUCCUGGCAAAGGGGUGACUUCCCAGCUCGGGGAUGGGAGCAACAUGCACCGUGUGGGGGCGGGGGGUUCCCCUUUCGAAUUUCUCCUGAACACACUAUUUUUUUCCCCCCACGAGCACCAGGUACAUAAAGACAAUUUUUUAAAUUUUUUUUUUCCAUUUAGAGAGUGAGUUUCUCAGGGUGAAAAUAUGAAUUUCUCCCUCCCCAAAAAAGAGCAGAAUCAGGCGGGUGUGUUGCAGCGUUGGGGUGAGGGUCCAUCCACCACUCAUCGUUUUCUGCUCUAAGAAAAGCAAAGAGCCCCAUUGCUCCCCGUCGGCUGCGAAAGCCUGACUUUGGCUAAUCCACUCUGGUGGGAAAUACACUAAAACUGAACUGCUAAUGCAAUAAACAUUUAUGAAAUAUAAGAGGGAAGCUUUAAGUAACGCUUCAGGCAAAAUGACCCAAAUGUAUUAAAAAAAAAAUAAAAUUACUAUGUGCUUGUUAUGUUUUGAAUUAAUGUCCAUGUGAUGGAAUUUUUUUUAACUUUCUCUUUUUUUUUUUUUUUUCCUGUUUUUAACAAAUAAACUUUAUAGGAGCCAGGCUUCCAGAUCUGUCCCUUGUUGUUUAAAAGUGGAGGAGAUGACAAUGCAAAAAAAAAAAAAAAAAAAAAAUGGAAGUAACAAGAAGCAUCCUACUUUUCUUCUCCUCAGCAGUGUUGAGAAAAAACUCUGGAUCCUGGAAUUUUACCGUGGAUGUCACUGGUUUUUCUGGAGUACUAUCCCAUGGGAAGAGUGUGUCCUUGCCUCCCAGCUGAGCCAGCGCAGAGGAGCUGCUGCAUCCCCAGGUAGGAUCACAUUAACCAAAAGCCCUACAAAGAUAACAAACGCAGAGUCUGCCUUUGCUGUCAGAAACGCUUACGGAAAAUAUGACUGA